rnacentral:RNase_P_RNA from 1 species
UAGGCAGAACGCUUCUGUCGCGGCCGGCGCACGUCGGCUGAGGAAAGUCCGGACUGGGCAGGGCAACCUGCUGUGGAAAGCACAGAUGGGAGUAAUCUUAUGAAUGCCGUAACAGAAAACAAACCGCCCGAAAGGGUAAGGGUGAAACCGUGAGGCAAGAGCUCACGACGUCGUAUGGCGACAUAUGGCGGUGACGGCACCAGGUCCAGCAAGACCAUGUAUACUGGCACGACCCGAGGCUCCGGCCGAAGGUCAGAAGGGCUGCCCGCUCUUUGCCAGGGGGUAGGUUGCGAAGAUAAAUGACAGAUUAAAACAGAAACCGGCUUACGGUUCUGCCUAUUAA